rnacentral:sRNA from 1 species
GUCAGCUUGUGCUAUAAGGUGUUGGGUUAAGUCCCACAACGAGCGGAACCCUCUUGUUUAGUUGCCAUCAGUGAGUUUGGAACCCUGAACAGACUACCGGUGAUCAGCCAGAGGAAGGUGAGGAUUUC